rnacentral:tRNA from 1 species
GCGCGAGUGGCGGAAUUGGCAGACGCGCUGGUCUCAGAAGCCAGUGAGGUAACACUCUUGGAGGUUCAAGUCCUCUCUCGCGCA